UAGGGAAUCUUCCGCAAUGGGCGAAAGCCUGACGGAGCAACGCCGCGUGAGUGAUGAAGGUCUUCGGAUCGUAAAACUCUGUUAUUAGGGAAGAACAAAUGUGUAAGUAACUAUGCACGUCUGGACGGUACCUAAUCAGAAAGCCACGGCUAACUACGUGCCAGCAGCCGCGGUAAUACGUAGGUGGCAAGCGUUAUCCGGAAUUAUUGGGCGUAAAGCGCGCGUAGGCGGUUUUUUAAGUCUGAUGUGAAAGCCCACGGCUCAACCGUGGAGGGUCAUUGGAAACUGGAAAACUUGAGUGCAGAAGAGGAAAGUGGAAUUCCAUGUGUAGCGGUGAAAUGCGCAGAGAUAUGGAGGAACACCAGUGGCGAAGGCGGCUUUCUGGUCUGUAACUGACGCUGAUGUGCGAAAGCGUGGGGAUCAAACAGG
rnacentral:rRNA from 1 species